UACGUAGGGUGCGAGCGUUAAUCGGAAUACUGGGCGUAAAGCGUGCGCAGGCGGUUUGUAAGUCAGAUGUGAAAUCCCCGGGCUUAACCUGGGAACUGCGUUUGAAACUACAAGGCUAGAGUGUGGCAGAGGGGGGUGGAAUUCCACGUGUAGCAGUGAAAUGCGUAGAGAUGUGGAGGAACACCGAGUGGCGAAGGCCAAUCCCCUGGGCCUGCACUGACGCUCAUGCACGAAAGCGUGGGGAGCAAACAGG
rnacentral:rRNA from 1 species